CAUGCUUUCAACGACUGACCAGCACAAGUGAUUACAUUAGGUCCCCAAGUUAUCCAAACCAGUACGAACCGAACCUCAACUGCACGUAUGAGAUUGUCAAAAGAAGGGGAGUCUUGAUUAGGUUUUCCUUCUACAACUUUGCUCUGGGAGAGAAGCAGGGAGGCGUUUGUCAAGAUGUUCUUCAGAUAUUUGACGGUGACUCCGAAUGUCAGAGACUGUGGGAGGUCCUCUUUGUGGAACGACCCUCCCACCUGACAUGAGAACCAGCAUCCAGAACUCCACAACAGUUAUCGUCAGGUUUAAGUCUGAUGCUUUCACCACAUCUGUAGAGAAAAGAUAUAGCAUAUACUAUCAGCAGACUGAGCCAGAUCCCAUCAGAUUUGGAACUACACUGAGGACAUGGGUACCUUUACAUCUCCCGGCUACCCCGACGUCUACAACGGCGAAGAGGACGUCAUCUGGACCAUCACCACAAGCCCUACAAGACCAUCACACUCUCCUUUCACGACGUUCAGCUUGGACAAUGCUGUGAUAAUAAGAUGAUAGUGACUGACAAGCCCGACAUCAGGACAACACAGAUAUCUAACUGGUGGUCUACUUCACAAAUCAUCAGUGACGGACACAGCCUCGAUGUGGAAUUGCAUUCCGUGCUGAAUAACGGUGCUAACAAGUUCAAAGCUUCCUGGACAGCAGAGUGUCGACAAGUGUUCGAGAUCCUAAAGGAAUCAUUACCUCCCCUACUGACAUCGACUUUGACACGUCAUCAGCAAACUGUACCUACAUCAUCAGACAGGAGCCAGGCUACUACAUCAAGAUACAGUUUUCUUCAGUCCACUUCAAGAAAGAUGUGAGAUGCAGAAACUACAUAGAGGUACACGAUGGUAGCACUGAGUUCUUUCCUUUCCUUGGAGAAAGGUACUGCGGCGGGUCACUUCCGCCAGACUUGACCUCCACACAGAACGUGGUGCUCAUCAAGUUCAGCACUCAGACUGGACAAAACAACUUCAGUCUCACGUACUACGCGUAUCCAAAAGAAUGCGACGAAAGCCUGAUAACAGACAGUGAAGGAGGUUUCACGUCGCCUGGCUUCCCUCUUGGGUAUCCUAGCAACACCUACUGCGUGUGGACCAUCAGUGUGGACGACAAGGAAGCUGUCAUCGACUUGACAUUUGACGACUUCUCUGUCGGUUCUCAAGGAAGCUCAAUGCCAGAAUGCCUUUCGUCAGAGUUUACGAUGGAGAAAUUGUGGACACAAACACUGUUAU